rnacentral:lncRNA from 1 species
CUUCAUUCAUUAUUCCAUAAAGGGACCCUGCCACAUUUUUUGAACAUGUUCAGAAAACGCGGCCGAUCGGUAGUCGAGGCGCCUGUGAACAUGUGAGCCAAACAUUAGAGCUCGGCAAGUGGCAAGGAAUUUGCAAUUACGUUUCAAAGUCAGCUAGCAA